rnacentral:lncRNA from 1 species
GCAGGAAAGUCAAUUUAACAAAAAUCCAGCAAACACAAUUGCAAUAAAUACAAGCAGAUAUUGACACGCUCAACUUCAUGAACUCCCCUAUUUCCUUUACCAACUCAUGGAAACCAUAAGAUCAAUAUCAACCCGCUCUUACAAUUAAUUUUAGCCAGUAAACGAUCUUGCCAAUGGAUCAAAUCAAUUCACUAACUGCCGCCAGGAAAUGUAGAAGCCAAAUUCAUAUUUUCUCUCACUGGGAAAAAAUACAAGGCCCUCCCUUUGCUAAUGAAUUCUCCUUUUUAACCCUCAAAUGUCAAAGACAGCAAAACGUUCUGGUCAAAGUGAACAAAAAUGGAUUUGAUCGAGGAGUUUUCCCUCAAUAGGGCAAAGAAGCAUGCAUUUUCCCAAAAACAAAUUCAGGGGAAGGCAUAAGAAUCAAGGGAGUUGAUUUAUGAAUGAAUUAAAAUAAAAAGGAAAGAAAAUUCCACCAAAACAGCACAAAAUUGUUACAGAAAAUAGGGUUUUUCCAUUGGAAACCAUUUAGAAAAAAGAAAGAAAAUCGUGUUCUAGAAACUGGCUGAUUAAAACCGCUUCCAUCUGGAUCCAAAUCAUGUUCUAGAAACUGGCUCAUUAAAACUGCUUCCAUCUGGUUCCAUCAGGUUCUCUCUGAUUUUGUAUUUCAUACAAUUUUUUCACUGAACUGAACCGGUCUUUGUCCAUGAUCCAGUUUAAAGUGUUUGAUUAGGUAGGUCCUGUCUAGUUAUGAUGGCAAAUUUUAUACAAAAUAAAUGCUUAUACAUGCCAUGGAAUAUUAAAACCAUCAGAAUAUUCUAUACAUCAUUGUCUUUCCCGUAAGGUAGUUUGAAGAUGCAACUGGCCUUAAGCAACAACACAUUACUCUAUUUGGCUCACUGCAAAAGGAGGCUAGCCUAGAGAAGUAAUGAAACUCAUACAUAAGAAAGAGGAUUGUUCACUUAUAACAAUCUCGAACUCAAGGACUUGAGAAGUAGAGAUUCCAUAGGCAUGGUCCACAGGUUAAAUACUUGCACCAGUUCCAGGAGUCAAUUUAGAACUUAAAAGAGAUCAGGCUGCAGUCUCUAAAAGCAGAAGAUGGCAGAGUUUUGUGCCUUGACUCUUCUCCUACAGGUAGACAAGGAUAGAGCCUUCAAUAGGCCAUAAGAAAAAGGGAAUGAGUUAUCCAGCAACUCAGAUGAGGGAUACAAAUUGAAUAGAGUCAAUGGAGAAAUUCAUUUUGGUGAACACAAAGAGACUGGCCCGUAUCGAGGCAAUGGAAAAGGAAGCUCUUCCACGAGAUCCCCAUCAUUUUAUGUGGGGACAAUGGCAACCCAAGGUUUUGAACCCAAUUAGAUUUUGUAAGCACAAGAUCAAAUUGCCUAGUGGUCCCAAUUUGGCAACGACUUCACAGCCAUUAUACUAGAGCUCUAACCUAAAAUUAUAAUGCCACUAGUAAGAGAAAUUGGAGCGCUUGAGUGCAUCCAUAAGAGAAAGAUUGACAAAACACAACCAAUUAAUGAUUCAAUCUUCACGCAUUAUAAUUUAAAGACACAUAAGAGUCCAUGCACAAUUUACCAAUGAUCAUUUUCUUAAUAUUUUUUAUCCAUAAUUAACUUAUAGGUUGUAAAUUUGCAUCCUCAUUUGAUAACUAUGUAGAUUACACACAAUAAAAGAUGGGCAGGGGAAGACCAUAGACUCCAAAAGCUUAGAAGAAUAACUGGAAUCUGGGUUGAAGAGGCCAGUGGGGUCCUAGCAUAGUUACAGGGAUCAUCCAACUAAGGUGGUGAUCCCGCACAGCAAUCCAGUGUUCCUUUGUCAGGAUCUACAUGGGAUCUCCAUAGCUAAUAUUAGUGAUCUUGUG